rnacentral:rRNA from 1 species
GACGAACGCUGGCGGCGUGCUUAACACAUGCAAGUCGAACGAAGUGGCGAACGGGUGAGUAACGCGUAAUCAACCUGCCCUUCAGAGGGGGACAAUAGUUGGAAACGACUGCUAAUACCGCAUACUGAAGGAGGGGAUUGAGUCUGAUUAGCUAGGUGGAGGGGUAACGGCCCACCACGGCGAUGAUCAGUAGGCUGGCUGGGUGGAUGGACGGCCACAUUGGGACUUGGAAACCGCCCCAACUCCCUCGGGUGGGAGCAGGGGGGGAUCUUCCGAAAUGGGGGAAAGUCUGACGGGAGAACGCCGCGGGGGGUAUGACGGCCUUCGGGUUGUAAAGCUCUGUUAAUCGGGGCGCGGUACCGGAAUAGAAAGCCACGGCUAACUACGUGCCAGCAGCCGCGGUAAUAC